CCGGUGUUACACGCCAUAGUGUCCUCCCCCGCCUAAAUGUCCUCCCCCCCGUCGGGUCCCCGGUGUCGGAGCGAACAUAAACAAACAAAGGCCAGCUGAUAGCAGUCUCACGCCAGAGUGUCCACCACAACAAUGGCUUCGGAUCUCCGCGACAGGAUUUUCCAUUUUAAUGAGAAUUUAGUCCCGCUUAAGCAACUAAUUCUUAACAACCAGUAUCCACCAGGCUUGACUGGAAAUCAAAGGAGAAUUUUGAGAAGACAGAGGGAACAUCACAUGAUAAAAGAUAUCAACUUGUACAACUUGCCAGACUUUUGAGGUUGUAAAGACACAAGCUCCCACACUUAAACAAAUUAAGGUGUCUCAACCCAUGGAAGUCGUAGGCAUGGAUCUUAUUGGAAAAGCUAAGGUAGUGUUGCAAGCAGGCAGUGACAAAUACAGUUCGGCGACAUGACAUGCUCAUCUUGUCCAGGACCUCAUCCAGUAUAAUGAAGGGCAAUCAGUUUCUAGUUUAUUAGAAUGCAUAUGAGAUUUUAAGAUGCAUGAUGAACCCUUGCAUGUUUUAUGGUGUCUUAAAAGUUUUAGGUGAACAUCGUGAAAUAUAUUAUAUUUUACCUGUAAAAAUGUAACUCAUUUAUUUACUUUUGCUAAGGUUUCACAUCAGGAAGUAUGGUCCCUCUUCUUACUGUUUCUUAUUAUUGUGUGUACAUAAACACAUUACUUUCUCACACUUAUGUUGGCUAAUAGUUCACUCUAUGAUGGCAUGUUCCCCUGCAAUGACCUCUGUAUCACAUUUACUGCUUUCUCUUACUUAUUUUUGUUAUGUGGUUGCCACUAGCAUUAGGGCCCCCAGUUACUGUUAUUAGGUUAUAAGAAAUAGCAGCUGCACUUAAUUAGCCUAACUGUUACCUUUUUCUGACAAAUUAAAACCUAAAGGGUGGGAAUGUACAGUGAAAGCCAUAAAUCCUCGCACAAACUUCAAAAUUAUGGCGGAAAAAGUCGGACCAGAAAACCCUGUCACCCGCCCUUUAGGGUUUAACCUCCCCUGCUUCAUGCCCUGGCCAGUAAUCCUCACAUCCCCUGCACUUAGGAGUUUGGUUCAGUAGGUUUUGUAUGCCUUAUUUAUAUUACUAUAAAAUCUUACCAUCCUCACACCAGAUAAGAUAAUGGUUUUUUGCAUGUGGAAUUUUGUAUCUUAAGAGAUCUUACAAAUGGCAGAGUGUUGCUCUGCGAUGGAUUUCUCAAUUGACUUCAUUGAUUUAGAAAUGAUGAGUUAAGGGAUGAUGAUAGAAGAUACUUUGAUGCAGUAAAUACUGUUACAUUUACAAUUGCCACAAUUUAAUUUUCCACAAUAUUUUGAAACAAAACAACUUAGCAUUCAGUGUUCCAUUGUAAUGACACCUUUAUUAUCUGUUUUCUGCCACCACAUAGUAAGUCAUUACAGUGCUGCUCCUCAUGUUUUUCAGCUAAAUGAUAUCCAUCGUGGGGAGGAAAUAUGCCACUACAUGUAUACUGAUAUAUUUUCACUGUAUUACAGGACCACUGGCGAUGACCAAGAGUGGGAGUCAGUACGUAUUGACAAUUGUGGAUUACUUCACCAAAUAUGUACUGUUGUUCCCUCUUCCAAGAAAGGAUGGGACAGGUGUCAACAAUUGCAUCAAGCAGUACAUAAGCAUAUUGGGAGCACCAAAACGCCUCAUCUCUGAUCAAGGGAAGGAGUUUUGUAAUAAGGAUUUUGGAAAUAACAGAAAGGGACACAGUAAAGCUGGCUCACGUCAAGAUUGGACACGAUGAUGUUCCCCUGGCACGGAUGGUGGCUUGCGAUCAGCUUAAGCCUGUAAAGUUCGGUGCUCUUCACAGGCCCUCAGAAGAGCUGCCAGCAGGCAGUUCUACUGAUACAGACCCUGAACUACACCUCAAUGAGGAAUUAUACCAAAAAAGACAAGGCCUUUCCAUCCCUGUGUCAGUUACUGCCCCUCCUAAGCCAGGGGACACAAGGCAUCCAGACAGGGAGGAAGACGUCAUUCUGAUCGGAACCAGGGCCAAGGCUGAAAGAGAAGCCGUGUGUCUGCCCCCUGUGCCAGCCAGUCGCCAAGAUCCACAAAUGGAGGUAAUGAUUCAGAUUCUUGAAGAGAGAAGGUGGCUCACUGAUGACCACAUGAAUCAUUGCCAGGCCCUCCUCAAACAUCAGUUUCCCGAGGUUGAUGGCCUCCAAAGCUGUGCAAUAUUUGAGGCGGUGGAGCAUAUUCGUGUUGGUACCCCUAGGGGGAAGUUUGUUCAAAUUAUCAAUGUCAGUAGUAAUCACUGGAUUACAGUAAGUAACAUUCAAAAUUUUCAAGAAGGUAAAGUAAGAAUCUAUGACUCCAUGUUC